AGUGAACGCUGGCGGCAUGCCUAACACAUGCAAGUCGAACGGUAACACAGUAACAGGUUCUGCUGACGGGUGGCCGGUGGCGUACGGAAGAGGAAAGUAUCCGAACCUGCUCUCUCGUGGGGGAGAAGGUAGGGAAAUCUACGAUAAGAUCGCAUAUUGCAUACGGGGGAAAGCAGGGGAUCGUCGGACCUUGCGCGAUUGAACGAGCCGAUGUCGGAUUGGCUAGUUGGCGGGGUAAAGGCCCACCAAGGCGACGGUCCGUAGCUGGUCUGAGAGGACGAUCGGCCACGCUGGUAAUGAGACACGGUGCAGACUCCUAAGGGAGGCAGCAGUGGGGAAUAGUGGACGAUGGGCGCAAGCCUGAUCCAGCCAUACCGCGUGGGUGAAGAAGGCCUUCGGGUUGGAAAGCCCUUUUGUUGGGAACGAAAAGCAGUAGGUUAAUACGGCGUUGUUUUGACGGUACCUGAAGAAUAAGCACCGGCUAACUACGUG
rnacentral:rRNA from 1 species